rnacentral:rRNA from 1 species
AUUGAACGCUGGCGGCAGGCCUAACACAUGCAAGUCGAACGAGUGGCGGACGGGUGAGUAAUGUCUGGGAAACUGCCUGAUGGAGGGGGAUAACUACUGGAAACGGUAGCUAAUACCGCAUACCAUCGGAUGUGCCCAGAUGGGCUUAGCUAGUAGUUGGGGUAACGGCUCACCUAGGCCACGAUCCCUAGCUGGUCUGAGAGGAUGACCAGCAAAACUGGAACGGAGACACGGUCCAGAAUCCUACGGGAGGCAGCAGUGGGGAAUAUUGGACAAUGGGCGAAAGCCUGAUCCAGCCAUGCCGCGGGUGUGAAGAAGGUCUUCGGAGUGUAAAGUACUUUCAGCGGGGAGGCUUUACCCGCAGAAGAAGCACCGGCUAACUCCGUGCCAGCAGCGGCGGUAAUUC